rnacentral:rRNA from 1 species
GAAACUGCGAAUGGCUCAUUAAAUCAGUUAUCGUUUAUUUGAUAGUACCUUACUACAUGGAUACCUGUGGUAAUUCUAGAGCUAAUACAUGCUGAAAACCCCGACUUCGGAAGGGGUGUAUUUAUUAGAUAAAAAACCAAUGCCCUUCGGGGCUCCUUGGUGAAUCAUAAUAACUUAACGAAUCGCAUGGCCCUGCGCCGGCGAUGGUUCAUUCAAAUUUCUGCCCUAUCAACUUUCGAUGGUAGGAUAGUGGCCUACCAUGGUGGCAACGGGUAACGGGGAAUUAGGGUUCGAUUCCGGAGAGGGAGCCUGAGAAACGGCUACCACAUCCAAGGAAGGCAGCAGGCGCGCAAAUUACCCAAUCCCGAUACGGGGAGGUAGUGACAAUAAAUACUGAUACGGGGCUCUUUUGGGUCUCGUAAUUGGAAUGAGAACAAUUUAAAUCCCUUAACGAGGAACAAUUGGAGGGCAAGUCUGGUGCCAGCAGCCGCGGUAAUUCCAGCUCCAAUAGCGUAUAUUAAAGUUGUUGCAGUUAAAAAGCUCGUAGUUGAACCUUGGGUCUGGCUGGCCGGUCCGCCUCAC